rnacentral:rRNA from 1 species
UACGAAGGGGGCUAGCGUUGUUCGGAUUUACUGGGCGUAAAGCGCACGUAGGCGGAUCUUUAAGUCAGAGGUGAAAUCCCAAGGCUCAACCUUGGAACUGCCUUUGAUACUGGGGAUCUUGAGUCCGGGAGAGGUGAGUGGAACUGCGAGUGUAGAGGUGAAAUUCGUAGAUAUUCGGAAGAACACCAGUGGCGAAGGCGACUUACUGGACGAUUGUUGACGCUGAGGUGCGAAAGCGUGGGGAGCAAACAGG